CCCCCCCCCCCCCGGGUGCCUCAGGGUUCGGACGGAGUAAGGUGUUUUCUUGUGUCAGCGCUGUGAACCAAUGUUGCGGAGCCGGUGCUCCAUGGCAACAGGCCCCUCCCCCCCUGUUCACAAUGCAUUCAACAGGAGAGGUCCUCCCUGCACUGAGACCCUGAUGGUUACUAAAAGUCAAUCCACGGCAACCUCCCAGUCUGAAUACAUCAUUACAUCGCUGUCGGAAAAGCGCAGUCCUCGGCGCUGCUGCGACAGGAUGUUCUGUUUGCAUCGGCAGCGGCUUCGUGAAAACGGGGGGGACUCCCUCGUGCCCGUGAAGGGUCAUCGCAACCCGACACACGGGCGCGGCGGACUCCACCGCAAACGAGGAAAGUCGCCGCGCCGAGCAGGAACAACAAAGUGUUGGGGGCUUUUUUAAAACCUGCUGCCACUAUUAGAAAGCGCUCCUCGGCCCAGCAGUGAACCCGCUGUCGUCCACGUCCCGCAGCGAGCGCUCUCCUCAUCCUCGAUGUGCCGCCACGAGCUCAUCGGGAUGCAGAGAGGUCGCCCAGAUGACUGGGCUGCAUACGCACAGUGUCUGCAUGACCUGCAUACAAAACAUUAAUUUUCCGAUUUAAUUAAAGCUGGUGCGCGCGCGCCGCAAGUGUCUUUUUGGGUGGUUGGGGUGGGUGGAUGAGGGCGGUGUUAACCGUUAGGGCCGCGUAGGCAGCGUGUUUGUUUGGGUGUUAUCAGUGAGAAGACACGCGACGAUUCCCCGCUGUGGCACAGAUCCGACUAGCUGACCCCCCCGCUGGGUUUGUUCAUUAAAAGGACGAUUUCCUGCUCGUUAUUUAUAUUGCUCAUGAUGUAAAUAUGCAACAGCAAAAAGUACGAGUGGCAAUUUGUUUUAACGAGCCGGCUCUUGAGUGUUUCCAGUUAUCAUUUCACAGACCCAGCAGAAAAAAAAAAAAAAAAAAGAUUUUUUUUUUCUUCAGGUUCCGGGUGACAAAGUGUGAAAAGCCGACCAGGGAGAGGCGCUCGAUGCUGAUUACAGACUCCAACGGCAGCGUGCCGUCCACGCCUACCACGGCAACGGCGCCCGAGAGCCGGACGACGUCAGAGUCCCAGCAGGAGCAGACGGAGAACUUGGCUGAAGAUAAAAGAUAGCGAUCCGCAGGGUCCAGAGGCGAGAAGACGAACAUCUGGACAAAACUCAAAAA